rnacentral:rRNA from 1 species
UGGGGAAUCUUCCGCAAUGGACGAAAGUCUGACGGAGCAACGCCGCGUGAGUGAAGACGGCCUUCGGGUUGUAAAGCUCUUUGAUCCGGGACGAAAGAGCCUGAGGUAAAUAGCCUAAGGAAGUGACGGUACCGGAAAAGCAAGCCACGGCUAACUACGUGCCAGCAGCCGCGGUAAUACGUAGGUGGCAAGCGUUGUCCGGAAUUAUUGGGCGUAAAGCGCGCGCAGGCGGCUUCCUAAGUCCAUCUUAAAAGUGCGGGGCUUAACCCCGUGAUGGGAUGGAAACUGGGAAGCUGGAGUAUCGGAGAGGAAAGUGGAAUUCCUAGUGUAGCGGUGAAAUGCGUAGAGAUUAGGAAGAACACCGGUGGCGAAGGCGACUUUCUGGACGAAAACUGACGCUGAUGCGCGAAAGCGUGGGGAGCAAACAGG